AUGUUUAUCGACACAGGUGGUCUCCCAGAACAGCACAAACCCCACAGCGGGGGGAAACUCCACCUCCAACCCCAACGCCACCACCAUGGCCACAGGCACCUACAGCAGUUCAGCCAACUCCACCACCCCUACCGGAGCAGGCGUCUCGCUGCACGCAGGCACCUUCUCCUUCGUGAUCCCCGUCAUCAUGGCAGCCUCUGUCCUGCAGCGUUACUGUUGAAGCCUGGACCCCCACAGCCCCCCCUUCUUCUCUGCCUCAACACUCCUCGCCUCCCAUCCAAUUAUCCCACCCAGUCCAGCCUCACUCCUCUCCCCUUCACUGCACAGAGACCACAAGACACACACGGAGGGACUCCACAACCUUCUUUGUCCUCCUUAAUUAAUGAUUUAAAAAAAAAAAAAUGUAAUUCAAGACAUUUCUUUCAAUAAAAGGGGGUUUAAACUUCCGCUGGAGACCAUCACCGAGACCCCCUCAGCCCCUUGCAUGGAAUCAAAAGGAAUGGCGGUGCACCCUGCUUCCCUUUUGGCUUGCGUUUCCAUAGUCACGCCAUCACAUUUUGGAGAUGCUCAGGGCUGCGGUUGUCAUGUCACAUGUCUUGAUUGAAAUGCGGACCACUUGAGUGUACAGAGGUUCUUUCUGUGGCUUCAAAUCCACCUGGCAGAAUGGUUUUUGUCUGUUAAAUGAAGUUUGGCACAUACAGUAGGCGAUUUUAAAAAAAGAAAAAGAAAAAAAGAAGCCAGAUGACAUUUUUAGUUGGGGUUUUUUUUUUUCCAUAAUAAUUUGGCUCUUCGGUCUUUUUAUUAGAAAUGUCAAAGAGAUGUAUGUAGCAAAUAAGUUGCCGCAGGACUUGUGUCAGUUUUGCCUUGUGAUUUUUAAAGAGUUGUGGUCUUUUACAAUGAGGGUUUGAUUGACACCUCCCCCCCUCCCCCCCUUCAUCCAUGGGUUAGACCCAGGAAAUGACUGUAUGUAUAACCAUAUGGGAAGGGUUGAUGUUAGAUUUAUAUUUCCCCAUUAUAGUUUAUAUUUUGUAUAAAUGGGAAUGUACUGUUUAUUAGUUUGGGUAUAAGAGAAUGGAAGAAAUUAUAAUGUACAAUAAAUUAUGAAAAAUAACAAUUGUAAUUGUUUCUUUGAUUCCAGUUUUGUCUGUUUUAUAAAAUUGUUUCUUUCCUGCGUAACUCGUACUUAAACCAAUAUUUUAGUAACCCUUUUUAAUCCUUUAUAAUCCUGUUCUUCUGUCCUGCAAAUCUGCAUGGAUCUAAUGCCAUAAAAUCAUCCUGAUAGUUAAAUUCAAAGGGUGUGGUGAUGUUGUAUUCAUCAUUACUGAGCUGCCAGGCAGUCUAGACAGCCAACUGCUGAGCUACAGAGAUGGACUCAGCAUUCCCUGAUGCCCCCACAGAUCUCCUCUGGAUGGGUGCCAGAGCAGCGCUGACUGGAUAUACUAGACUCUGCGAUAUUUUAGUGAUGUACUAGUGUAUGAUUCUUCAUUUUGACUCAACAAGGAGGAGAGAAGCCUUGUAAAAGCUGUCAGCAUGCCGAAACCUGUUAUUUCAGUCAGGAGUUUGAAUACCAUUAUUUAUAUCUUUCAAUUACUGGAAGAAUAAAGUUGAGUUUAAAGAGCACCUAAGGGAACACAAUGUCAUAGUUGAUAGGUUUUCAAACAAGUUUGGCUUCUGGCUGUCAUUUGACACUGUCUAGUCCUCCCUAUGUUGAGGUGCUUAAUUCUUCAACAGCUGCAGAGCAUGGAAAAAUAUCUGUAUACACACACACAAAUAUCGAAUAAAUUUGAAUUGGAUUUCUAAAUAAAUGAUUGCUUAUGCAUAACAGGAAGAGUUUACCUUAAAAUUCAAUUUUACGUGGUUUUGUUUGCCAGUAUGAAAGUACAAUAUGUAAUUGAAGAGUCAUAAGUGAGUGAUUUAAGCUAUUUUAAGAUUUUUUACAUGUAGAAUAUAGAAUAUGUAUUCAUUUUAAGCAGCAUUUAUUAAUAGAAAUUGUAACACAUUUAGAAAUAAAUCUUUUCCUAUUCAUACCUUUAUACUGCAUUUAUAUGAUUUAUCAUUGGGUUUACUUUAAACUUUCUUUUUUUUUACUGUUGAUCUCACAAGCAGUCGAGUGAAAGUAUUAAUACCAAUCAACAUAAGCAAAAUGGCCAAAAACACCACUAUAUAUAUAUAUAUAUAUAUAUAUAUAGGGGUGUGUGUGUUUAGGGUGACCACUGCGAUGGCAGAGUGGUGUGCAGCUCAGAAAUGCCUCAGUAAAGCCAGCCUCAUGACUCAUUAGCCCAGCCUAUUGUCUCUCAAUCCUCUCUGCACUAUUAACCUCUCCCCACACCACGCCAUCUCCCCCUCCCUUUUUAACAUAUCUUUUCUACCCAUUUACUGUCCUCCACCAGUCUGGUCUGAAGGGACCAUUUCCAUUUUCAUCAAGGGGAAGUAUUUUUCUUUCAUUUCCGUUUUCAUUGAAGGGAAGUAUUUACCUUUCAUUUCCAUUUACAUUGAAGGGAAGUUUUGUCUGUAUUUAUGAGAUGAGAAUUCAUUGAAUAUUUUUUCCCCACGGAAGUUAAAUGAUCUCAGGUUAUGAUGCCAUUUAUUCCAGGUACAUAGAGCACAACAUCUGAAAGCAUGCCUCUCUUCUGGUCUGGUACAUUUUAAUCCUAUAAAUAAAAUCUUUG
rnacentral:lncRNA from 15 species